UGAGGAAUAUUGGUCAAUGGGCGCAAGCCUGAACCAGCCAUCCCGCGUGCAGGAAGACGGUCCUAUGGAUUGUAAACUGCUUUUGCACAGGAAGAAACAACGCUACGUGUAGCGUCUUGACGGUACUGUGAGAAUAAGGAUCGGCUAACUCCGUGCCAGCAGCCGCGGUAAUACGGAGGAUGCGAGCGCUAUCCGGAUUUAUUGGGUUUAAAGGGUGCGUAGGCGGAUAGAUAAGUCAGUGGUGAAAACCUGCAGCUUAACUGUAGACUUGCCGUUGAUACUGUCAGUCUUGAGUAUGGUCAAGGUAGGCGGAAUGUGUAAUGUAGCGGUGAAAUGCUUAGAUAUUACACAGAACACCGAUUGCGAAGGCAGCUUACUGGGCCAUUACUGACGCUGACGCACGAAAGCGUGGGGAGCGAACA
rnacentral:rRNA from 1 species